UUCAGCAUUUAGACUGUCUCUUGUGAACUGUGACUUAAAUUCAAAAAUUAAGCAGAGUUAGAUCUAGUUAGCAUUUAGAUGGGUGACCAUCUGAGAAUACCAGGUACUGUAGAUG
rnacentral:rRNA from 1 species